rnacentral:rRNA from 1 species
GAUGAACGCUGGCGGCGUGCCUAAUACAUGCAAGUCGAGCGAACGGACGAGAAGCUUGCUUCUCUGAUGUUAGCGGCGGACGGGUAAGUAACACGUGGAUAACCUACCUAUAAGACUGGGAUAACUUCGGGAAACCGGAGCUAAUACCGGAUAAUAUUUUGAACCGCAUGGUUCAAAAGUGAAAGACGGUCUUGCUGUCACUUAUAGAUGGAUCCGCGCUGCAUUAGCUAGUUGGUAAGGUAACGGCUUACCAAGGCAACGAUGCAUAGCCGACCUGAGGGGGUGAUCGGCCACACUGGAACUGAGACACGGUCCAGACUCCUACGGGAGGCAGCAGUAGGGAAUCUUCCGCAAUGGGCGAAAGCCUGACGGAGCAACGCCGCGUGAGUGAUGAAGGUCUUCGGAUCGUAAAACUCUGUUAUUAGGGAAGAACAUAUGUGUAAGUAACUGUGCACAUCUUGACGGUACCUAAUCAGAAAGCCACGGCUAACUACGUG